rnacentral:rRNA from 1 species
GNGUCUGUAUAUGGCCCUUACGGCCAGGGCUACACACGUGCUACAAUGGUCGGUACAAAGGGUUGCCAAGCCGCGAGGUGGAGCUAAUCCCAUAAAACCGAUCGUAGUCCGGAUCGCAGUCUGCAACUCGACUGCGUGAAGUCGGAAUCGCUAGUAAUCGUGAAUCAGAAUGUCACGGUGAAUACGUUCCCGGGCCUUGUACACACCGCCCGUCACACCAUGGGAGUGGGUUGCUCCAGAAGUAGCUAGUCUAACCUUCGGGGGGACGGUUACCACGGAGUGAUUCAUGACUGGGGUGAAGUCGUAACAAGGUAGCCGUAGGGGAACCUGCGGUUGGAUNACACNNCAAC